CCUACGGGGGGCAGCAGUGGGGAAUUUUGGACAAUGGGCGCAAGCCUGAUCCAGCCAUUCCGCGUGAGUGAAGAAGGCCUUCGGGUUGUAAAGCUCUUUCGCAAGGGAAGAAAACUUAUCCUCUAACAUAGGAUGAGGUUGACGGUACCUUGAUAAGAAGCACCGGCUAACUACGUGCCAGCAGCCGCGGUAAUACGUAGGGUACUUACGUUAAUCGGAAUUACUGGGCGUAAAGUUGUAGGACGGAUGUGAAAUCCCCGAGCUCAACUUGGGAACUGCGUUUGAAACUACAAGACUAGAAUAGGUCAGAGGGGGGUAGAAUGCCACGUGUAGCAGUGAAAUGCGUAGAGAUGUGGAGGAAUAUCAAUGGCGAAGGCAGCCCCCUGGGAUCAUAUUGACGCUCAUGCACGAAAGCGUGGGGAGCAAACAGGAUUAGAUACCCGAGUAGUC
rnacentral:rRNA from 1 species